CGCUCGCUGCGGUGUUCGAGUAAGGGGCCGGAUAACCCCUUGAUCCUAAUUAAUCUGACCCAGGGUGUACGGUUGUCGACGCAAGUGUGCAUGUCCGCCUUGCCGCGGAAAGCCUGGAGCGUCGCUCUGUUCCCCACUUGAACCUCACGGUUCAAGGGUAACGGCUCGAAACGGCACAGGCGGAGAGCGC
rnacentral:other from 1 species